UGAGACAGGUGAGAUAUGGACAGGUGAGAUAUGGACAGGUGAGACAUGGACAGGUGAGACAUGGACAGGUGAGAUACAGGUGAGACAGGUGAGACAUGGACAGGUGAGAUACAGGUGAGAUACAGGUGAGACAUGGACAGGUGAGACAUGGACAGGUGAGACAGGUGAGACACAGGUGAGACAUGGACAGGUGAGAUAUGGACAGGUGAGACAUGGACAGGUGAGAUACAGGUGAGACAUGGACAGGUGA